CCUACGGGUGGCAGCAGUGAGGAAUAUUGGUCAAUGGACGAGAGUCUGAACCAGCCAAGUAGCGUUAAGGAUGACUGCCCUAUGGGUUGUAAACUUCUUUUAUAUGGGAAUAAAAUGUUCCACGUGUGGGAUUUUGUAUGUACCAUAUGAAUAAGGAUCGGCUAACUCCGUGCCAGCAGCCGCGGUAAUACGGAGGAUCCGAGCGUUAUCCGGAUUUAUUGGGUUUAAAGGGAGCGUAGGUGGAUUGUUAAGUCAGUUGUGAAAGUUUGCGGCUCAACCGUAAAAUUGCAGUUGAAACUGGCAGUCUUGAGUACAGUAGAGGUGGGCGGAAUUCGUGGUGUAGCGGUGAAAUGCUUAGAUAUCACGAAGAACUCCGAUUGCGAAGGCAGUUCACUGGACUGCAACUGACACUGAGGCUCGAAAGUGUGGGUAUCAAACAGGAUUAGAUACCCCUGUAGGC
rnacentral:rRNA from 1 species